rnacentral:rRNA from 1 species
AGUGAACGCUGGCGGUAGGCCUAACACAUGCAAGUCGAACGGCAGCACAGUAAGAGCUUGCUCUUACGGGUGGCGAGUGGCGGACGGGUGAGGAAUACAUCGGAAUCUACUUUUUCGUGGGGGAUAACGUAGGGAAACUUACGCUAAUACCGCAUACGACCUACGGGUGAAAGCAGGGGAUCUUCGGACCUUGCGCGAUUGAAUGAGCCGAUCUCGGAUUAGCUAGUUGGCGGGGUAAAGGCCCACCAAGGCGACGAUCCGUAGCUGGUCUGAGAGGAUGGUCAGCCACACUGGAACUGAGACACGGUCCAGACUCCUACGGGAGGCAGCAGUGGGGAAUAUUGGACAAUGGGCGCAAGCCUGAUCCAGCCAUACCGCGUGGGUGAAGAAGGCCUUCGGGUUGUAAAGCCCUUUUGUUGGGAAAGAAAAGCAGCAGGUUAAUACCCCGCUGUUCUGACGGUACCCAAAGAAUAAGCACCGGCUAACUUCGUG